rnacentral:antisense_RNA from 1 species
CGGCAGCCCGGGCCUCCACGCAAGCACCCGAGCGUUACUUUCGUUUCCGCGGCAAACGUCUGGAGGCCCGGGUGAGGGAAGAAGCGGCGGCGGAGGGUUGGGGAUUACUCCGACGCCGCGGCAGCCUUGCCCGGUCGUGCUGGGGGAGGGCGCGCGAACCCCGACCAGGGGUUCACCGGGACUGAGCCCGGCGGCCCCCGGAAUGUUCCCCGCGCGGUGCCAGCCCGCUCACCGCGCCCGUCUCCGUGGCCGCGCCGUCCAGCCAAGUCCUGCCGCGCUCCGUCGGCCCCGCCUGGAUGGCCGCGCUCUGGCGCCCCAGCUGUGGGUCCUCUGGAGUGGCCGCGCUCCGGCAGCUGGCCCGCUGUCCGCCGUCCGCGUCGAGCGCGCCCGGCUGGAGGGCGUGGACUGUUCGCGUUGCCUCCUCCCCCUGCCCCGGCCCUUGCCGGGGAGGAGGACCGCGAGAGCGCCGCCCCGCCGCUCGUGGGACCUCGCGCCCGGGGUCUGAGUCCCGGAGCUCUCUUGCGGGCUAGAGGAUCGCGGACUUUGCUUUCAAGCGAGUGGGGCGGCCUCCGUAAAAGAGGAAACCGAAACCUCCGCGCGCACGAGAGGGAGAAGGGCCUGGAGGGAAGCACUGGGUGGAUUACAGCGGGGGCGCUAUCCGGAGGAUUCAGAGCUCUGCGGGUUAGCAUAGGCAAGUUAUCAUUCCUCUCCCUUCAUCUGUAAAGUGGGGCUGUCGAGGAGGAAAUGUGAUUAUUUUGCAGCCCUUUAAAAUGGUAAUUGUGAAGUCUCGAGCAAAGUUGGAACUGCAUGCUAUUCAUGUUAUAUUAAAAAUCAAAUAAUAAAAUAAUAUGCACAUC